CGUAAAAACCCUAUUUGUAAACAACCAGCCCUUUAACUCGGGGCUGCGUCAUAAACACGGCGCGCUUGGAAGACCACGAUGUCAUCUUCCUUCUGUCAGGAGGAUCCCAGUGAAGCUACAGGAGUUUCAUUAACGUCAACAACUUGGACCAAACAGUUUGUUUUGCUUGAUGAAGAGCAGGAAGGGCAGCCUGGAGAGAAAGAGAAGCCGGGUUGAGCCCACUACCAUCAUCCACGUACCACGAGGAAGAUGAGGGAGAGAAAUGAUCCUACCAUUAAAGAGACUGUGAAAAGAACGUUGAGAACAUCACCACUCUACAGGAAGACACAGUCCAGUAAUGGGUGUCAGAAGUUCAGUAGUGAACGACAGGUACUGUGGAAAAAUAUGUGUCAUUGUUGUACAAUGUCCUUUGACUCUGUUUAAACAAGGUUAACACAAAAAGGUUUGAUUGUAAACUGAUAUCGGUAUGAAUUCAUGUUAUUCUCCUCGUCAAAAGAAACAAACAAUCCAAAUUACCUGCAGAAAGCCCUUGAUGGACGCUUCAGCUGCAUCGUCAGACUGGCAGUACUGAUGCAUUUACUGAGACGGGACGUGAGGGCCUACUCUGCGUGCUCAGAGUUCAAGCCCAGCAGGCUGCAGCGGGCCUGACAUAUUCUGGAACAGCAGCACAGUCUUUGGAUGACUCCUCUGAAGAUGAAAACAUGGCGAGUUCUUCUCAAGAGAAGCAGUACAGGUGUGCCUCAGCUCCACGGUCCCUCCUGCAGCCUCCGCUCCUGAUGCUAACCUCAUGUCUCCAUCACACCAAGCAGCAGACCUGGAUUGACAGACCUUUCUCCAGAGCUGCCCCCUCCCUCUGAAACCCCCCUCUCCAAAACACUAUUUGUGUAGUUUUUAAAGUAUUUUUUGCAUGAGAAUUGUUGAUCAUAACAUUUCCAGCAGAUGCCUUAAUAUAAUGUUUGUGCACAA